rnacentral:lncRNA from 1 species
AUGGUCAGAGACCUGGAGGACCGGGGGCAGUCGUUGCCUCGCCUACACACUCAUCUGGGAGCGGAGGCUCUGCCACGGGUGUUCGUCCAGACGUCCGUGGAGGGGGCGGAGCCUGGCUGGAGCCCCUCCCCUGGGAAUUCGGUCGGCGGGGUCGCUGACCUAGCGCGCGGCGCUCUGAGGCAAAUGCCGCCGGGAAGAACUUCGCGGGUCAGUCCAAGGCUCCCCGCAGUGGCUCCCGGGACAGGACAAAUUGCAUCAAAGCCAGGAAAAAUUAUUCCUGUGGCUGGUCUCUGAGGCAUUCUUAAAUUCAAAAGGAGAUGAUCACAGAACAAAGAGAAAGUGGAACAAUGGGAGACAGAACAGAAGGCUGUGAUUGAUGAUGUCAACAACAGAAGAACCUCAAAAAGGAAGGUAAGAACAGACUUAAGUGGUUAAAGAU